GAUUCCGCUACGUCGACACUCCGUCGAGCCCCCGAUGCCCCAGUUUCGACCACACCCGACGGCCAUCAAAGGGAUUGUUUCGUGCACGAUAGACGUCAGACCCCGUAGGUAGAAACAAUAGGGACACAGAACAAGCAAGUGAAUGUGAUGACAUGCAGAUCACUCUAGAAGCUAAAAUUAAAAUAAUUUGGAUUAAGUGAAUUACUUAUGCUCUAAUGAAAUGAAUUCCAAGUGCUACUUAUUAUCUAACUGUUUAGAUACCAUGCAAGUAAUUUAAACAUCUAAAUGGUGAAACUCGUGAUCUAUAUGCUAGUUGUUUCUUAUUGCAGUUUUUGAAGUAGCUUACUGGAAUUGUACUACACAUGAAUUCGUAGAUAUAUAUAAAAUUACAGAUAAGGGUGAGACAGAUUAUUUGGCAAAAUGCUUUGAUUAUAUCUACAUAUAUUUUUUCUUUAAUAGCAUAAAUUUAAGGAAGUGCAUUCAAAACUAGUAACUAGGAUACAUACACUUAAACACUAAAUUGAACUACGACACUUGUCACAGGGAAGAAUUUAUAAGUUGAAGAAUCAACGCAUCAACUAGAACGGUUGAGCGGUAACGAAUUACUACAAGAAUUUUGUAAUUUAUUCUUCGUAUCAUCUCACCAAUAAAUUCACAUAAUUGACUAUUCGUC